rnacentral:lncRNA from 1 species
AUAUAUAUAUAUAUAUAUAUAGUUCGGCUACUAUGCUAUAAAUAGCACGAAAUAUUUGGUACUACCAAGUUUUUCGCUGUUAGAUUCACGUUUUUUAUCAUUUUCACCCAUUAGAUCAUACUAUUCAACCAAUUACCGACUCAACUCUAAGGGGCCCACAUCAUUCUAACCACACAUCUCUCAAUUCAAUGGCCGAAAACUUAGUAACACCAAUAAUUUGGUGCUAUUAAUAGCAUAAUAGCCUAGUUCUAUAUAUAUAUAUAUAUAUAAAAUUAAAAGUGACUUUUUUUUUUGUUUUUUCC